GAUUUUUCCGGCGCUAUUUCCAAACCUGUGAGACCUUCCGCACCUGAGAUAAACGCUGAGGACGCAAGAGCGAUUUUACCAGAGGAAAACAGUCACAGAGCCGUCGCUGGACUCAUAUUAAACAGUACUGCGACAGAACGAAAAAGCAAGAUAAAAAUAGUAUGGCCGGAUCUUUUUUAAAAUGGGACCACUGCGCAAGUUACGCCUGCGUAUUGCAGGGAAGGACCGUAAAAGGCUGUGGUGCUGAUCAACGAAGGAUUUCUCGGAGAAAAUUCCUCCUUUGCGGAAAUGUCCGUAGAAACGCACCUUUUUUUUUUCCUGCCAGGACAAACCGCCGGCGAUAUCCGUUCAUGUGAAAGUGUUUACUAACAUUCUCUGAAGACUCACUGGGUUCUCAGCUCGAGAACGUUCCUGUCACAAGACGUUUAGGAGGCAGGAUGCCGGUACAAUGUAUUUAUGUUCUUGUAAACUGUUGCAUUAACAGUGCACUUCAAGUGGGCACAUUUGUCGUUGGAUUUUUUACCAACUCGAGCUUGGACUUUAGGACGGGGAAAAGAAGUGCUAAAUGUUUUUGAAUAAAACCUUUACUGCACAUGAUAAACAUCCCUUAAAAAUUACCUAGGAGCACCCUAAAUUUUAAAAUGAUCACAAAGACCUGGACAGAUUACAGUAAACCUUCAACAUCGCUAAACACACGUACCAUAAAUCAAAAGAAACACACUGCUAAUGAUCCGUUUUUUGAUGUGGAAAUAUCAUGCUGUUUUUAAGGGAAAUUAUACUUUAUUGCGAUGUUUUAUUUCAAAACAAGAUGUUACACUUUAUUUCCUAUAAUUUUAUUUACAAUAUUUUACACCCGUUAAGCAAAAAUCCCCCUACAUUGCUAUUCUGUUUUUUUUUAAUCAGUUCACUACUGUAGUAUCUUUUUGUUCUCCAUAUAUUUUUGAAAAAUACGCAAAAGAGUUCUGCAGAACUUAUCAGGUUGGACUCUGUGAAGCCUGCAGGCCAGAAUUGCUAAGGUGACAAAAAAGCAAAAAAAAAGUCAACUUCUCCUCUCUCUAGGAAGUCUGUCCCAGGAAGUUUUCAAACCUCUCUUGGCCAGAGAACAUCAGUGGGAGUGAUUGGAGGCCCUGGAUGGGAAGUCCCGCCAAGCUGGAACAGCUGAGCCAUCCAAACAGCAAGGAUGACAACCUUCCCUUUCUCCUAAGAACUCUGCCCCAUUCAAGCUUGGCCCAACACUGUUGCCAGGGGCUGGCUGGAAUUCCAAGCUGGUGAGUCUUAUCCUAUGAGGUGCCAUGAAAGUGGGGCCCACAGAAGGAUGCUGCUCAGCUUCCUGGAUUCAGCUCUCUUCCUAAGGUUAUGUACAAAAAUCUUAUCUCUCACUUUGCCUGAGUUGCAGCUACCUUUGCUGGUGAUCCUGGACCCAAAGUGUGCCAGCCUCUCCUGAUACUCUGUGUGUACCUGAGCAGCUAUUCUGCCAAGACUUCACACAGCUCUGUGCAUGAAACCCAAGGCCUUAGUGAAGUGGGAUCAUGAGGGGAUCUCCUAACUGGAGUGUUAAAAGAUCCUUAGGAGAAACAUUGAGUAUUAUUUCCCAGGGUGUACAUUCGCUCACCACUUCCCUGUGUUAGGGGAGGUUCACUUGGCCACUUGUUACUCAUGUUGUUGUUAUUGUUUAAGUAUUUAUUUAGAUGAUCCAUUAGAUGAUCCAUUAAAUGCCCAAAGUGGGGUUUUGAAGUCGACAAUUAUUAUUGUGUUGGGGUCUAUCUCUCUCGUUAGCUUAAUAAUCUUUUCUUUGUAAAUCUUGAUUCUCCAGCAUUGGGUGCAUGUAAAUUUAAAAUUGUUAUAUCUUUUUGCUGAAUUGAUCCCCUUAUCAUCAUUUAAUGGCCUCACUUUUGUCUCGAAAUCUAUUUUACCUGAUAUAAGUAUAGCUACUGCUCCUCUAUUUUGGUUUCCGUUGGCACAUAUUUGUGUCCUUAUAAGGUGAGGUAAAUUCUCUUGUAGACAGCAUGUAGUUGUCUUCCCUUUUCAUUUAUUCACCUACUCUACAUCUUUUGGUUAAAAAAUUUAGUUUAUUUACAUUCAUUAUUAUAGAUGAGCAGGGACUUACUACUGACGUUUAUUUGUAUUUUUUUAUUAGUCAUUUUUUUCUUCAUGUCGUUUUAUACAAGUGACUUUUUUUUCUGCUUCUAGGGUUUAAUUUCUUUAUUUUUAUAUAUUGUGUAUCAAUUAUAGGUUUUGUAUAUGUGCUUACUAGUUUGCUUACAUAUAACAUGUUAUAACCAAUUAUUUUAAAUAAAAACAACUAUAAUCAAAAUUUUAAAACAUAGAAAAGUAAAAAUCUCUACACUUUAUAUUCUCCUCUGUUUUAUGUCUUUUGGUUGUCUUGUCUUUGUAUAUUAUCUGUCUCUUAAAUGAUGUAAUUAUCAGUUUUAACAUAUUGCUUCUUUAGUCUUUCUACUAAAGAUAUGAGUGGUUUGGACAACACGAUUGUAACAUUACAGUAUUUUCUACUUGUGUAUUUACUAGUAACAUUGAGUUUUAUAACUUCAGAUGACUUGUUGCUCAUUUCUGUUUUUUACUUUUCAGAUUUCAAACAUUUAGGUUCAAGGGAUGCAGAUGCAGGUUUGUUACAUGGAUAAACUGCAAGUUGUGUAGAUUUGGUGCACAGAUUAUCUUGUUACCCAAAUAAUGAGCACAGUAUGCUGUAAGCAGUUUUCUUUGCUCAGCCUCUUCUGGCCCUCCACCCUGAAGUAGAUCCUGUGUCCAUUAUUGUCUUAUUUCCAUGUGUACUCAGUUUUAAGCUUAUACAUGUAAGUGAGAACAUGCUAUUUGGUUCUCUCUUCCUGUGUUAAUUUGCUUAGGAUAAUGCCUUCCAGCUGCAUCCAUGUUGCUGCAAAGGACAUAAUUUUAUUCUUUUUUUAUGCUGUCUGGUAUUCCAUUGUGCAUAUAUUUAUUUUUAUGUAUGUACUUUUUAAAUUCAGCUUACUGUUAAUGGACACCUGGGUUAAUUUCAUGUCUUUGCUAGUACAAAUAGUGCAGUAAUGAACAUAUGUGUAUAUGUAUUUCUAUCAUAGAAUAAUUUCCAUUUCUUUGAGUAUAUGCUGAGCAGUGGGAUUGCUGGGUCAAAGUUAGUUUUGUUCUAAGUUACUUGGGAAAUCGUCAAACAAAUUUCCACAAUGCCUAAAGUAAUUUACAUAAUCAGUAGCGGUGUAUAAAUGUUCCUUUUUCUCCACAACCUUGCCAGUAUCUGUUAUUUCUUGGUAUUUUAGUAAUAGCCAUUCUGACUUGUGUGAGAUUACCUCUCGUUGUGUUUUGAUUUGUAAUUCUCUAAUAACUAAUGAUGUUGAACAUUUUUAUAUGCUGGUUGGCUGCAUGUAUGUAUUAUUUAUAGAA
rnacentral:lncRNA from 1 species